ACAUGCGAGUCGAGCGUUUCUAGCUAUGUUGAGACGCGGCAUACGGCUCAGUAACACGUGGCUAACCUACCCUCAGGACGGGGACAAACCCGGGAAACUGGGGCUAAUAUCCGAUAGGCGAGGAAUCCUGGAAUGGUUCUUCACCCAAAAGACAUUGGAAACAUACUUUCUCUGUCGCCUGGGGAUGGGGCCGCGACCGAUCAGGUUGUUGGUGAGGUAAUGGCUCACCAAGCCUUUAACCGGUACGGGCCAUGAGAGUGGUAGCCCGGAGAUGGGUACUGAGACAAGGACCCAGGCCCUACGGGGCGCAGCAGUCGCGAAAACUCCGCAAUGCACGAAAGUGUGACGGGGCUACCCCGAGUGCCGUCCGCUGAGGAUGGCUUUUCCUUGGUGUAACUAGCCGGGGGAAUAAGGAGAGGGCAAGACUGGUGUCAGCCGCCGCGGUAAUACCAGCUCUCCGAGUGGUAGGGAUGAUUAUUGGGCUUAAAGCGUCCGUAGCCGGCUUAGCAAGUUUCCUGUUAAAUUCAGCGACCUAAUCGUUGAGCCGCGGGAAAUACUACUAGGCUAGGAGGCGGGAGAGGUCGACGGUACUUCUGGGGUAGGGGUGAAAUCCUAUAAUCCCGGGAGGACCACCAGUGGCGAAGGCUGUCGACUAGAACGCGCUCGACGGUGAGGGACGAAAGCUGGGGGAGCGAACCGGAUUAGAUACCCGGGUAGUCCCAGCUGUAAACGAUGCGGGCUAGGUGUUGGGGUGGCUACGUGCCACUUCAGUGCCGCAGGGAAGCCAUUAAGCCCGCCGCCUGGGGAGUACGGCCGCAAGGCUGAAACUUAA
rnacentral:rRNA from 1 species